GCUUGUCUCAAAGAUUAAGCCAUGCAUGUCUAAGUAUAAACAACUUUGUACUGUGAAACUGCGAAUGGCUCAUUAAAUCAGUUAUAGUUUAUUUGAUGGUGCUUACUACAUGGAUAACCGUGGUAAUUCUAGAGCUAAUACAUGCGCAAAAGACCCGACUGUUUGGGAGGGUUGUAUUUAUUAGAUGGAAACCAAUGCGGGGCAACCCGGUAUAUGGUGAUUCAUAAUAACUUUCGGAUCGAUCUUCGGAUCGAUGCAUCAUUCAAGUUUCUGCCCUAUCAGCUUUGGAUGGUAGGGUAUUGGCCUACCAUGGCUUUAACGGGUAACGGAGAAUUAGGGUUCGAUUCCGGAGAGGGAGCCUGAGAAAUGGCUACCACAUCCAAGGAAGGCAGCAGG
rnacentral:rRNA from 1 species